rnacentral:rRNA from 1 species
UACGAAGGGGGCUAGCGUUGCUCGGAAUUACUGGGCGUAAAGCGCACGUAGGCGGCUUUCUAAGUCGGGGGUGAAAUCCUGGGCUCAACUCCAGAACUGCCUUCGAUACUGGAAAGCUCGAGUCCGGGAGAGGUGAGUGGAACUGCGAGUGUAGAGGUGAAAUUCGUAGAUAUUCGCAAGAACACCAGUGGCGAAGGCGGCUCACUGGCCCGGUACUGACGCUGAGGUGCGAAAGCGUGGGGAGCAAACAGG